GGCCAUAGCUCAGUGGCUGAGCAGCUGCCUUGCAAGCAGAAGGUCCCAGGUUCAAUGGCAUCUCCAGGUAGGGCUG